rnacentral:rRNA from 1 species
GACGAACGCUGGCGGCGUGCUUAACACAUGCAAGUCGAACGGUGAACUCCGCUUGCGGGGGGAUCAGUGGCGAACGGGUGAGUAACACGUGGGCAACCUGCCCUCAGCUCUGGGAUAACUCCAAGAAAUUGGGGCUAAUACCGGAUAUGACCGCUGACCGCAUGGUCUGGUGGUGGAAAGAUUUAUCGGCUGGGGAUGGGCCCGCGGCCUAUCAGCUUGUUGGUGGGGUAGUGGCCUACCAAGGCGACGACGGGUAGCCGGCCUGAGAGGGUGACCGGCCACACUGGGACUGAGAAACGGCCCAGACUCCUACGGGAGGCAGCAGUGGGGAAUAUUGCGCAAUGGGCGAAAGCCUGACGCAGCGACGCCGCGUGGGGGAUGACGGCCUUCGGGUUGUAAACCUCUUUCAGCAGGGACGAAGCGAAAGUGACGGUACCUGCAGAAGAAGCACCGGCCAACUACGUG